rnacentral:rRNA from 1 species
GAUGAACGCUAGCGGCAGGCUUAACUCAUGCAAGUCGAGGGGUAUAGUUCUUCGGAACUAGAGACCGGCGCACGGGUGCGUAACGCGUAUGCAAUCUACCUUUUGCAGAGGGAUAGCCCAGAGAAAUUUGGAUUAAUACCUCAUGGUAUGUGAGAAUGGCAUCAUUUUCACAUUAAAGUCACAACGGCAAAAGAUGAGCAUGCGUCCCAUUAGCUUGUUGGUAAGGUAACGGCUUACCAAGGCAACGAUGGGUAGGGGUCCUGAGAGGGAGAUCCACCACACUGGUACUGAGACACGAACCAGACUCCGACGGGAGGCAGCAGUGAGGAAUAUUGGACAAUGGGCGCAAGCCUGAUCCAGCCAUGCCGCGUGCAGGAUGACGGUCCUAUGGAUUGUAAACUGCUUUUGUACAGGAAGAAACACUGGUUCGUGAACCAGCUUGACGGUACUGUAAGAAUAAGGAUCGGCUAACUCCGUGCCAGCCGCCGCCGUAAUAC